rnacentral:rRNA from 1 species
UACGUAGGGACCGAGCGUUGUCCGGAAUCAUUGGGCGUAAAGAGCGUGUAGGCGGCUCGCUAAGUCUUGCGUGAAAUCUCGGGGCUCAACCCCGAGCGGUCGUGAGAAACUGGCGGGCUAGAGUGCGGGAGAGGAGAGUGGAAUUCCUGGUGUAGCGGUGAAAUGCGCAGAUAUCAGGAGGAACACCUGUGGCGAAAGCGGCGCACUGGACCAUAACUGACGCUGAUGCGCGAAAGCUAGGGGAGCAAACAGG